GCCUGGGUGGCACAGCGGUUGAGCGUCUGCCUUCGGCUCAGGGCAUGAUCCUGGCGUUGUGGGAUCGAGCCCCACAUCAGGCU
rfam:Ailuropoda melanoleuca scaffold1976_96, whole genome shotgun sequence.